AUGAUUCAAGCAACUUCACUCCUUGAGAAGCCGCGGACAAUCAAUUCAAUGAGAAUGCUCUCUUCAUCAUCCAAGAUGCAAUUCCACCCGAAGACCUACCUCAUCUUCGUCCCUUCGCCUUGGCCAAAGAUGCAUGGCAUUGUUUUUUUUGAACAACAGAAGGCGCACAAAGCGCCAAACUUUACUAUUCAGCUCAAUAACAGUGUACAGCAUGGAUUACAAAUCCCUGGAACUGAAAAUUGGAAAGAAGAGAAACUACAGGGCAAGAUCCAUUUCGAUGAGCUGAGGCAAAACAGCAUAUGUCAGGUCCUAGAUAAGGCCUAA
rnacentral:rRNA from 1 species